rnacentral:rRNA from 1 species
ACUCAAAGGAAUUGACGGGGGCCCGCACAAGCAGCGGAGCGUGUGGUUUAAUUCGAUGGUACGCGAAGAACCUUACCUGGGUUUGACAUACAGGUAGUAGCGAGGUGAAAGCCGAGCGACCCUUCGGGGAGCCUGAACAGGUGCUGCAUGGCUGUCGUCAGCUCGUGUCGUGAGAUGUUGGGUUAAGUCCCGCAACGAGCGCAACCCCCGUCGUUAGUUACAAGUGUCUAACGAGACUGCUGGUAUAAAACCGGAGGAAGGUGGGGAUGACGUCAAGUCAGCAUGGUCUUUAUAUCCAGGGCUACACACACGCUACAAUGGCCGGUACAAUAGGUUGCCACCUUGCAAAAGGGCGCUAAUCCCCAAAGCCGGUCUCAGUUCAGAUUGUCGUCUGCAACCCGACGGCAUGAAGGUGGAGUUGCUAGUAACCGCGCGUCAGCCAUAGUGCGGUGAAUGCGUUCCCGGGCCUUGUACACACCGCCCGU